rnacentral:rRNA from 1 species
GACGAACGCUGGCGGCGCGCUUAACACAUGCAAGUCGAGCGAUAACCAUGGCUUCGGCCAUGGGGAGAGCGGCGAACGGGUGAGUAACACGUGAGUGAUCUGCCCUCGGCACCGGGAUAGCCCGGGGAAACCCGGAUUAAUACCGGAUGGCCUCUCGAGCCCACGGGCUCGUGAGAAAAGAUGGCUUCGGCUUUUGGCCGAGGAGGAGCUUGCGGCGGAUUAGCUUGUUGGUGGGGUAACGGCUCACCAAGGCGACGAUCCGUAGCUGGUCUGAGAGGACGAUCAGCCACACUGGGACUGAGACACGGCCCAGACUCCUACGGGAGGCAGCAGUGGGGAAUCUUGCGCAAUGGGCGAAAGCCUGACGCAGCGACGCCGCGUGAGGGAAGAAGGCCUUCGGGUUGUAAACCUCUUUCAGGAGGGACGAAGCCACUCGGGUUAAUAGCCCAGAGGGUGACGGUACCUCCAGAAGAAGCCCCGGCUAACUACGUGCCAGCCGCCGCAGUAAAAC